rnacentral:misc_RNA from 1 species
AAGUCGUAACAAGGUCUCCGUUGGUGAACCAGCGGAGGGAUCAUUAAUGAGUUUUCUAAACUCCAAACCCUUGAGAACAUACCUAGUUGCCUCGGCGGACUUGCCCUGGGACGACCUACCCUGCAGCGAGUUACCCUGUAACGAGUUGCCCUGUAGAGACCUGCCCUGUAGCCUGCCCGCCGGCGGCUAACCUAAACUCUGUUUUAUUGUGGCACUUCUGAGGAUUAUUCUAAAUGAAUUAAAACUUUCAACAACGGAUCUCUUGGUUCUG